ACAAUAAAUGACUUUAAACACAACUAUUUUCUUUGACCAAACCUUCUGUGUUUGACAGCAGUGCUCUGUUAUUCCAGACUCUACAGCUUUAUUUUUACGUAACCUCCAACAAAACAACUUAGAGAAAGUGAACACUGCUACUGUAUUCACUCAUAGUGCAAAGUUCAAUCAAACCACAAAGCAUCAUGGGAAAUGAUCCUGCUGUUCUCCAACAUGCUGCAGUAUUGUUGUAUCAGUCCCUGUGAGGUUAUUCUGGAGAAUAUUCUAGAUUAUGUGUGUCCUUGUUUUGAUUGUUGACAACAAUAAACAGACGUGUGUUUAAAACAAAGAUAUUUGUUGACAACCAUGUUUAUAAGAGGAUUAAGAAUUGGAACAAUAUGGAGGUACAUUAGGAAAAGAUAAACUGUGAUUAAUUGUGGUUAAAUAUUUUUGACAGACCUAAUUAGAGUGUUGUUCUAGAAACAUCUAAACAUUUGUUUCCUGUGGUUUUAUUCCUAACGUGUAGAUUUUGUUGCUGUUCAAAUCAGUUAAGUUGGAGACAAACCUUUACUGUCCUGUAACUCCUCAUCCUGUCAGAAUGGUUCAACAGUUCCACUGAAAGUUAAAGGUUGGCGCUAAUCAAUCAGAAUUUACCUUUAUUUACCCAGAAACAAUAACAGUUUUUUCCAGGAGUCUGGAGAGAACAGCAAAUGUUGAAAAAAAUUCUCGUGUAAAACAGAAACAAAAAUAACAUUCAGUGACAGAUAAAAAAAGACGUCUAGAUUUUCAACUCAACUCCUCCUCCCCGAGCUUCCCGCCACUCCCAUAUGACGUUUCCGACGUCAUUGAAAACCACAGCAAAAGGUACAGAACGAAGAACUUACUUGGGGAGACUGAAGUCCAGAAAAUGAGUGAAUUUAUGGAGAAAGAACACAAGUCAGAGUCUCCAGAACCCAGCUGUCUGUCUGUGAAGACUGACUGGUCCAUACAGUUCUUUCCAGACUUCAGUGAUGAACCCAGACAACCAGACACACGAGAUCACAACCAGAGACAGAGACCAGAGUCCCCAGGACCCAGCUGUCUGUCUGUGAGGACUGACCGGUCCAGAAGUUUACCUCCAGACUUCAGUCAUGAACCCAGACCCUCAGACUGCAGUAUGUAGAAAACCAUAAUAUCAUCUUAAACCACACACUGACACAUGUUCUCUCAGGCUGUGGUUCUGUUUCUCCACUGAAACAGAAUCUUCUCCUGAUCAAUAACUGGUUAAUUUUCAAAUCCAUCUCAUCUCUUUGUAACUAACAAAAUGAAGAGACAAAGGUUUGAAUUCACUGUCAUCUUCAUCUUCUAGUCAACAAGAAGCUUCUCACUAAUGUCCACUCUUGUACUGUUUCUCUGUCCCUGUGCUGUCUGUCCAAACACACUGUCUU